rnacentral:rRNA from 1 species
UACGUAGGGGGCUAGCGUUGUCCGGAUUUAUUGGGCGUAAAGAGCGUGUAGGCGGCCAGGUAGGUCUGGUGUGAAAACUCGAGGCUUAACCUCGAGAUGUCAUCGGAAACCAUUUGGCUAGAGUCCGGAAGAGGAGAGUGGAAUUCCUGGUGUAGCGGUGAAAUGCGCAGAUAUCAGGAAGAACACCAAUGGCGAAAGCAGCUCUCUGGGACGUUACUGACACUGAGGCGCGAAAGCGUGGGGAGCGAACAGG